rnacentral:rRNA from 1 species
CCUACGGGUGGCAGCAGUGGGGAAUAUUGCACAAUGGGGGAAACUCUGAUGCAGCGACGCCGCGUGAGCGAUGAAGGAUCUCGGUGUGUAAAGCUCUAUCAGCAGGGAAGAAGAUGACGGUACCUGACUAAGAAGCUCUGGCUAACUACGUGCCAGCAGCCGCGGUAAUACGUAGGGGGCAAGCGUUAUCCGGAUUUACUGGGUGUAAAGGGAGCGUAGACGGCGAUGCAAGCCAGAUGUGAAAGCCCGGGGCUCAACCCCGGGACUGCAUUUGGAACUGUGUGGCUGGAGUGUCGGAGAGGCAGGCGGAAUUCCUAGUGUAGCGGUGAAAUGCGUAGAUAUUAGGAGGAACACCAGUGGCGAAGGCGGCCUGCUGGACGAUGACUGACGUUGAGGCUCGAAAGCGUGGGGAGCAAACAGGAUUAGAUACCCUGGUAGUC